rnacentral:rRNA from 1 species
UACGUAGGGUGCGAGCGUUUAAUCGGAAUUACUGGGCGUAAAGCGUGCGCAGGCGGUUUUGUAAGCCGGAUGUGAAAUGCCCGGGCUUAACCUGGGAACUGCAUUUGUGACUGCAUGGCUAGAGUUUGGCAGAGGGGGGUAGAAUUCCACGUGUAGCAGUGAAAUGCGUAGAUAUGUGGAGGAACACCGAUGGCGAAGGCAGCCCCCUGGGUCAAGACUGACGCUCAUGCACGAAAGCUGGGGAGCAAACGAGG